rnacentral:lncRNA from 10 species
CCUACAUCUCAUUGCUUGUCCUAAAAUGAUAAAUAAGAGACUGUCUUUAUCCAAAUGGUGUUAGUAAUCUGCUCACAGGCUAGAAAUCCACGGACAGAAAAAGUAAGUAAACGGAGCCCAGGAAUAGAGAAGGAAGUGCAGGUUGUGGACUGGGCAACCCCCAAGGCGGCAAAGAGGAAACCAGAGACAGGGUCUCGGUCUGUUACCCAAGCUGAAGAGCAAUGGGAUGAUCAUGGCUCACUGCAGCCUCAGAUUCCUGGGCUCAAGUGAUCCUCCCAUCUCAGCCUCCCAAGUAGCUGGACCUACAGACAUCCACCAUCAUGCCUGGGCCCCAGGUACUGAAGAUAAGAAUAUAGAGAAGUUUUUCUUCUGACAGACUUGCUGGAAGCCAGGUGGCUAUCGCUGGUAACAAUCCAGGAAGCUAACGGAUAACUUCUGUAACAACUGGACCCACACGGCCAGGACUUGAUUAAUGACUGACAUCUACCCUAAUUUUUGUGCCUACAUCCAAUUUAAGACCAAACAGAGAAAACGAAACACGCACCCCUAACCGAUCAUGCAGAAUGCCCCUACUUCUGUUUAGCCCGCCUACAGCUUCCCCAUGGCAAUAGCCUCCAAUCAGGAUACACCUGAACCCUUCCCUCCCCACCCACUGCCCUGCUAUAAAGCUUUCUCAUUUCUCUGCCUUUGAAUCACUGCCAAAACACAGCGACAGUAGCUAACUCCCUUGUUGUAUAGCAGGCUGUGAAAAAAUAGCACUUGCAUUUCUCAUUUGAUUGGUCGUCAUUUAUUUCUAUAACCAUGUGUUUCAUUCAUGCAAUUCAGAAGUUUCUUUGGAAUAACUUGCAGAGUAAACUAAAAAAUAUUUAUUUGCUAUGAUACUUUAUAUAUAUUUUCUGCUUAUUUAAGUUCCCUACUGAGGUUUUGAAAUUCUCCCUGAUGCUGGUAGUAUAAAAAUCUUAUUUGAAGCAAAUCAAUUAAUCCUGAAGAUGACUGAAAGAUCAAUAUGAGAUAGCUGCAGAUAAACCAACUAUUCUCUAAGCUCUAGGACACCUUCAAACAGCACAUUCUGCCUUUUAAUACAAGUAUUUACACACUGAUUUCAGUUGUAAAGAAAUGAGAAACUUCAAGUAUAAAAAGCUUGGGACUAUGAAAACCAAGCGUUUUGUCUAAACAUCUUUUGUUGUUGUUCUUGGUAAAAAAGAAGGCUUCGGGGCUGGUGGCACGCGCCUGUAGUCCCAGCUACUGGGGAGGCUGAGGCAAGAGAAUCGCUUGAAUCCAGG